GAAACGCUCGGGAGCCCUAAUAGUACCUGAAUGCUCGAAAGGGAAACUGUAUUGAAUAUCUUUAAUUACCUGGCACCUGACUAGAGGGUGUUUCUAUUCUGGCAUGGCUGUCGUACACGUGGAGGGCCUCACGACGCCAUGACCCCAUCUGGGGGCGUUUCUGCCCACCUGGGGACGUCUCUACGUGUGAGCCCUCCUGCUUGGGAGUGCUACUGCGCUAGGGGUGGCUUUUUGGGUGCCAACUCAUGCCCCCAAGUAUCUAGCCACUUACUCUGAGAGCGUAUAUGCCUUCCUCUUGC
rnacentral:lncRNA from 1 species